GAGGUUUUGAACUUAAAUCCUUUGGUGGGGAGCUUGUUUAAGGGCUACUUGGAUGUAUGGUUUGCCAAGGUACUCACAAGCCUAUGCUGAUGAGGUGGACAAAUUUAUUACAAUCGCGGUGAAUCAUGCAAAGAUGUUGAAGCCUACAAUAAGUGCGAUCAGAUGCCGCUAUUCACAGACUUUAUUAACAAGAUCGGUGUUGUGGAAAAAAA